UUUCUUGUAUUCAUCAUUUUUCUUCUUUAAUAGUUGCACCAUGAAAACAUAUAUAUUGAUAUAACUGAUACAACCCCCAACACCAUUUCAUCAAAUUCAAGCUAGCAUGCCGCAAUAUUCAAACAUAAGAAAUAGGCAUUCAUUCAUCAAGAAAUGGAAAAAGCUGGCUACCUCCCUUUUUGCUGGGACUGGAUUCAACUUCCACAGCUGCUGAAUCCUCUGUUUCACUAUCUUCAUCUUCAACAAUGCUGUCUGAAUUUUUGUCAUCAUCCUUCUCUUCAGACUCAACAAUUACACGGUCGUCGUUCUUCCCCACGAGCAAGCUCGUUAGCGCCUCUGAAUUUAGAUUAUUAAAAAUAUAUUUCACUUGAAUUCGAAUUAAAGAUCACUCUCCUAUCAUAAUUUAUUCAUAAAACAGAAUUAAUUUAUUCAACCCAGCCCAACAUGAGAUAGAUUAACAAACAUUAAUUGCAUACGUCUUGCUUUUUCGUUUCAUUUUUGUUUUGUUUUGUUUUGUUUUGCUUUCCUAAUUCGCAUUUGCAACCUUGGAGCUAGUAAACACUACAACUUUUUAUAAUUAGGUAAAUUAAAAUUAACAUAAAAUAGGAAAUGGCAAGUGAGCUAAAUGAUUUGAUCUCCUUUGCAUAAACUUGGUUGUGAAUUCUUACCACUUUUGUGUGUAUGGGCAUAAAUAGUGAUGUGAAUCCUUAGUUUAGGCACAACUGUUUCUAUAGAUAUAGAAGUGAUCUACUCAAAAUAAUACCUUAUAAUGAUGAAUGAAGUCUGAGUCUUUGAGAAUCAUAUCAAUUGUGAAACAAAUUGGUAUCGAAACAUGCAUUUUCUUCAACCCUAGACAUAAUAAUCCUAUCAAUUAAAGUUCAAACAAAGAAUAUAUAUGAAAUUACAAAAAAAUUAUGAAAAGAGGUUGAGCAAGUCAUGAUGGAGAAAAUGGAUACUCACUUAUUCCUUCUUCACUAGAUCGCUUCCUUCACCUCCUAAUUCUUUGGAGGCAACUGUUUGCUUCUUUCACCUUAAUUAUUCUGUAUCAAUACGAAAAAGAAUUAUUUAAUGGAAAAAAAAGAUAAGAUGAUAAGUCGCUGUAAAAAUAUACUAAACAAACUCAAAUUAAUUUAUCUCCUAUUGCUCAAUCCAUCCAACACAAGGGACUUGAGAUUGGGUAAGUGCCCCAACAUUGGGAUCUCUUCACAUUCUCCACAAGAAGAGAGUUUUAAGA
rnacentral:lncRNA from 1 species